GGUUGUGUAGUAUAAUGGUUAGUACAAUUCGUUGUGGUUUGGUUCGAAAAGCGCCCCCAAUGAAUACCGAAUAGAUCCAGGUUCGAUUCCUGGCACAGCCA